GACGAACGCUGGCGGCGUGCCUAAUACAUGCAAGUCGAGCGGACCGAAGGGAGCUUGCUCCUUUAGGUUAGCGGCGGACGGGUGAGUAACACGUGGGCAACCUGCCCUGCAGGCUGGGAUAACUUCGGGAAACCGGAGCUAAUACCGGAUAACACCGAAAACCGCAUGGUUUUCGGUUGAAAGGCGGCAUUAGCUGUCACUGCAGGAUGGGCCCGCGGCGCAUUAGCUAGUUGGUGGGGUAAUGGCCUACCAAGGCGACGAUGCGUAGCCGACCUGAGAGGGUGAUCGGCCACACUGGGACUGAGACACGGCCCAG
rnacentral:rRNA from 1 species